GUGGUAUUGGUCUAAUGGCUAUGAUUUCUGACUUCCAAUCAGAAGAUGAGAGUUCGAUUCUCUCAUACCACAUCA
rnacentral:tRNA from 3 species